rnacentral:rRNA from 1 species
CCUACGGGGCGCUGCAGUGGGGAAUAUUGGACAAUGGGCGAAAGCCUGAUCCAGCCAUGCCGCGUGUGUGAAGAAGGCCUUCGGGUUGUAAAGCACUUUCAGUGGGGAAGAAAGCCUUGGGGCUAAUACCCUCGAGGAAGGACAUCACCCACAGAAGAAGCACCGGCUAACUCCGUGCCAGCAGCCGCGGUAAUACGGAGGGUGCGAGCGUUAAUCGGAAUUACUGGGCGUAAAGCGCGCGUAGGCGGUCUGAUAAGCCGGUUGUGAAAGCCCCGGGCUCAACCUGGGAACGGCAUCCGGAACUGUCAGGCUAGAGUGCAGGAGAGGAAGGUAGAAUUCCCGGUGUAGCGGUGAAAUGCGUAGAGAUCGGGGGGAAUACCAGUGGCGAAGGCGGCCUUCUGGACUGACACUGACGCUGAGGUGCGAAAGCGUGGGUAGCAAACAGGAUUAGAUACCCUGGUAGUC